rnacentral:rRNA from 1 species
AUGGACGGCCUGCACGGCGCGGACGCCUGCUUCUCGCCCGGGAGGGCCAUGUCGCCGCAGGUCCGGCCCCCCGCCGGCCCGCCGGACGUAGGCAGCCACUACUUGACGGAGCUGUUGCAGGAGCACCAGAAGCUCGUCCCGUUCACGCAGGUGCUACCAAUCUGCAGCAAGCUGUUGGGUAACGAGAUAAUGCGGGUGUCCUGCCUGCUUAAGCACCAGCAUGGUGGGGACUUUGAGAGGUUGCCGCCGAUGGCGAGUCCAAACCAGAUGCAUCAUCAUCCGUCGCCCCCAAUGCCUAAUUUCUGUGGAAAUGGUUUUGGCCCGUGGAACCACGGGGCGCAUCCAGAGAGGGUAGGUUUUCCUCAAGGACCUGUGGGUUGGCAAGGAGCACCACAAAGCCCCUCUUCAUACAUUGUCAAGAAGAUUUUGCGGUUGGAGAUACCAACAGAUACUUACCCUAAUUUCAAUUUUAUUGGCCGUCUUCUUGGGCCAAGAGGAAACUCGUUGAAGAGGAUUGAAGCCUCUACGGGUUGUCGUGUUUUUAUCAGAGGGAAGGGCUCAAUUAAAGAUCCUGGGAAGGAGGAACAGCUGAAGGGAAGACCUGGUUAUGAACACUUGGAUGAUCCCCUGCAUAUCUUGAUUGAAGCAGAGUUACCUGCCAAUGUCAUUGAUGCAAGACUCUCAAAAGCACAAGAGAUCCUAGAAGAGUUGUUGAAACCAGUGGUACGCGAUGAAUCACAAGACUACUACAAGAGGCAGCAACUCCGUGAGCUUGCGAUGCUGAACUCACCGCUCCGAGAGGAGAGCCCUCGUCUAAGCCCGCAUCCAAGCCCGCACCCAAGCCCGCAUCAAGGCGGCGCUUCGCCCUUCAGUAACGGUGGGAUGAAACGAAGCAAACAAUGA